UGUAAGGUAGGUUGCAGCGCGUGUGUGUGUACACAACAUCGAGAGCAGGAAAAUGGACUCAUUAGGGAGGCAGGCGGUCGGGAGCGCUCGCGCUGUAGUGCCGGGGAGACGGAGGCUAUGAGGAGGCAAACUGAGGACGGGGGAACAAGCAGCAUAAAAAAGAAUUGUUGAGAGCUGCUCUUAACCCUUUUGGAGUCCGAAGUCAAAAGGGAACUAGAGGGCUUGACACAUCCCUUGCAUCUUCCAUUUACUCUGACCACAGUCCCUCCCUGUUCUCACAAGUGGAGCUAAGCCCUGCUUCUCUUCCUCUUGAUUCCCAGACAGCUACGUGACUGCCUGAAGUUACAUUGUAGAUGCUGAAAUCACUGCACCUUAAAAACAAAAAGAUUAAGCUGCACUGCAUUCUUAUGUAUAGAGGCAUGUUAUAGAAAUAUGUAUUAAGAAGUCCCUGGGAGAACGUAUCAAGUUGACUCUGGCUUGAAGCAAACAAAUUACCUUCGUGGUCCUGGUCCUUUCGUUCCACACAAUUAUCGACUGAGCUGAAGGAGAUCUCCCUAUAGCUCAGUCGUUGGCAGUUUUCCUCAACUCAACAAGAGAGAGAGAGAGAUUUGGUUGGAAUGAAACCUUGCUCUUCGUACAGUCUGAUUGAGAUGCAGCUUUGAAAGAUCACUCACAGUCAAUUUGUGGCCUUCCUCUGAAGGAACCUUUCCUGACUCCUGUGAACUGCGUGCCAUCAGCUUUGGUACAAGCACAUCAGUACCCAUGCUCUGCCUCAGCAGCGUGAGGAACCGUGUACAAGUGUUUGGAUGGAAGCAAUGAACGAGCUUCAUGUUGCAUUUGCGCAUGGAAAUCCAGAGCCAAAAUCCAUCUCAGACAGUGCUUCGCUGUGUGACCACAAAUAAACCAUUUCUCUGAUGUCUGCCUUUGUUUCUUAACCUGUAAAGCAAGACUUGCACACCUUCUUGCUCCUUUAAGUCAGGUUUAUUCUACAGUUGAGGGCUUCUUUGUGCUUCUCCAUUCUCAACUGAACAAGCUCUGUAGGAUCCUCAAUUUAUUUCAGGCAUGUGUGUAAGUUUGUCCUGUUUAUACUGGCUCUCUCCUUUCUCUUAAUAAGGUAGGUCCUUCAGGU